rnacentral:lncRNA from 1 species
GGUCUUUGUGGGAAGAAACAGAAAGAAAUCACAAAAGCAAUUAAGAGAGCUCAAAUAAUGGGUAAGAGCAUCUGAAAAACUGAAUUGGACUACUCGAAAGUUUUUGCUCGUUAUCUUUUGUGAAGAACUUUCAUUCUUUUUUACAGGGUUUAUGCCAGUUACAUACAAGGAUCCUGCAUAUCUCAAAGACCCUAAAGUUUGUAACAUCAAGUAUCGGGAGUAAAUUACAUGUCUUAUCAUCAGUAAAUGUAUUUUACAAUAAAUGGUUGUAUGGUUUUAAUAUUGACUCAAAUUAGAAGAUUUAAUAAUCUUUGAGUAGAAAAUAGGCUAAAUCUUGCCAAAUGCUUGUAAGUUUUAAAUUCUUAAUAAUUGAGAUCUUACAAGGAAAAAGUGCUUCCACUGCUCAUUAAAGAAACAUUAUUUAAAAUGUUAAUACUCAUCACAUUUUACAUACAUACAAACUUUAAAAAUUGGUACUGUAGGAUUGUCAUUUUAUCUGGUCCCCACUUAGCUCAUACCAUAUACAACUCAUAUUGGGAUUUUAAGUAUGGGAUAGAGGACUUGGAAUUUUACUUGAGUCCCAGAUUUUGUCUUGUAAAUGGGAUUUUAGGCAUAUGGUUGCAUCAAGGUAGAAUGCUUUUAUUAAUGCCCAAAUUCCAUGUGACAGAGUGUAGACUUGAAAUUGCUUAGAUUUUCUAACUACCAAUAUUUAAGUAUGCCUGGCCAGGACAGUGGGUGUUCCCUUUAUAGAGACAUUAGUUAUGCAGGUAUGGAUAGUGGUGCAGUCAAAGGCCCUAACAUUUAUUCCUGGGCUAGUCUAUCUUGAAACUGGUAGUGUACUUUUUUUUUUUUUAAGCAUUUACUUACUUUCGAGAGAUAGAGACAGAGCAUGGACGGGGGAGGGGCAGAGAGAGGAAGACACUGAAUCCAAAGCAGGCUCCAGGCUCAGGGUUGUUAGCACAGAGCCCGACACGAGACCCAAACUCAUGGAUGGUGAGAUCAUGACCUGGGCCAAAGUCGGACACUUAACCAACUGAGCCACCCAGGUGUCCCAGUAGCAUAAUUUAAAAUGAUCCAUAAACAAAUGGUCUAGUAAUUAAUUGCCAAAAGAUGAGUAACUGGGGGAAAAUGAUAUAGAAGGACCCUUUUCCUUCUUUUCAUUUAAUACCAAAAGGUGGGUCAUCAAACUUAAUUAUGGAAAUUCAGCUGGUACUGACCUUAGCAUGCUUCUCUAUGACUGGAAGUUUAGCAUUUCUUUCUUCAAGAUGGAUCACUGUGCCAAAGUAUGAACUAAAUACAUUACCUCUCUAUAGUGCUUUAGCAAACUGAACUUUGUAUGAAGGCCUGUUUCUUUUAAGGAGUCUGAAAAAUCUUUAGUUACUGUCUUAAGACAUUUGCAUAUGUUGGUUGCUUAUUGCUUCUGCUGGUCCUAGUCUAGCUUUUUUUUUUUUAUUUAAAAAAAUUUUUUUUAACGUUUAUUUAUUUUUGAGACUGAGCAUGAACGGGGGAGGGGCAGAGAGAGAGAGGGAGACACAGAAUCGGAAGCAGGCUCCAGGCUCUGAGCCAUCAGCCCAGAGCCCGACACGGGACUCAAACUCACGGACCGCGAGAUGGUGACCCGGGCUGAAGUCGGAUGCUUAACCGACUGAGCCACCCAGGCGCCCCUAGUCUAGCUUGUUUUAUCUGUUGAUUAGUAGACUGGUACAUGGAGGGCAGGAAAACACUAAAGACGCAGAUGACUCCGGACUAGUAAGUAGCAGCGUAAAUAAGCAAGAGAACUUACUUACAAAGCUGGUCUUGGGUGACCACAAGACAGAUCUCAGAAAAACAGAUCUCUGCACCUGCCUGUCAAGAGUCUUAAAAGUUUAUAUUGAGGCCUUAACUGGAUUUAGUCACACACAAUCCAUAUGGUCUUAACAGCUUGCUUUCUCAAGUCCAUGUCCUUGGAACACUCCCAAUGUGGUAACAGUAGGCAAAGUGUACAUUCCAAGGAUGGGAGGGGGUGAGGAACCUUUGUCUCAGUCCAGCAUACAGGUAAACUAGGUGAUGUGUGCUCAGUGACCUCCAGCAAAUCAUUUGUUGGCUGCAUUUAGUCAUUAUGUUCUAUGUGAUGCUCUAUAUGCUCUAGUGAUAUUUGUGGUUAUUUUAAUUUUAGUGUGUGUGAGUGGGGUGGGGAGGGGCAGAGGGAAAGAGAAUCUUAAGCAGUCUCCACGCUCAGUGCAGAGCCCAACACGGGGCUUGGUCCCACAAACCCAGGAUCAUGACCUGAGCCAAAAUCAAGAGUCAGAAACUCAACCAACUGAGCCACCCAGCUGCCCACCUGCCCCAUUUGUGGUUAUUUUUAAGUCAGGUUUCAGACUGCCAACCUAUUUCCCCUCCCUCUGCCCUGUGUUGUUACACCACAGUGCUUCUUAGGUAACCAGUUAAACAGCCCCAACAGAAACUCUUUAUACAAAACAUCUCAGUUGUUAUGUGGGCUUCAUUAGCACCCCAUGGGUAACUAAUACAUGUUAACAUAGAUAAAAGACAAUUUUGAUAGUAGCUAGGAAUUUGUUCUGCCACUAGAAGUAGCAGAUGGAAAAGCUAUGCUCAAAGUUUGUGUUCAGCAUUUCAUCCAGUGAGUGAAACAUGAAGGCUUCAUAUAAUGUGUAGGCCUUGUGGAAAAUUCUCACAAUUAUGUAAAAGAAAUAAAACACACAGUAAAAGCUCUCUUAGGCAACUUCCAUUUAACCAGCUCACUGGAUUAAACUGGAGCUUUACAUCCUCAAAUAUCAUACUGAAGCCCAUAAUUCUUCAAACCUGUUGAGUUCUACAUUGCCAAGAGUCAGCUAUUUUGUUCCCAAGUCUGUGUCAGUUUCGUCACUGUAUUGAAGUAGGAGCAUUAAAAAGUUACUGCAAUGAAAACUAAGUAAAUGCUUUCUAACUGACUGCACCACCCAGGGUGCCUGGGUGGUACAGUCAGUUAAGUGUCCCACUUCGGCUCAGGUCAUGAUCUCGUAGUUCAUGAAUUCAAGACCCACAUCAGGCUCUGUGCUGACAACUCAGAGCCUGGAGCCUGCUUCAGAUUCUGUGUUUCCUCUCUCUGCCCCUCCUCCGCUCGUGUGCGCGUACUCUUUCUCUCUCAAAAAUAAAUUAAAACAUUAAAAAAAAAUAGUUGUCAAGUUAGGUGUGGUUAGGACAACUAAAGAAGGGUGGAAGUAGGAGGAUGCUGUAAAAUGGAAAAAAAAAAAAGUAGUAGCAUUUUGUGCUUAGGUUGCUUUGCAAGCUUCUUUAAAUUCUUUAUAAAGAAACUAAAACUGGGAACUAUAAAAGUAAUGGAUGUGACUUAUAUAGGAACACCAGUAUACUCACAGAAAAGUUCCUAGCCCUACAACAAAAGGUUGACAAAAUGCAUGUACGACUCCACUUUAUGUUAAAAUGAAAUCUGCGAUAGACAUGUAUAUAUAAAUAUAUAUACACAUAUGCACGAUUUUUGGUUCCCACUUUAACUGGUGUUUCUAGCUACUUGACCAGCUACUGACCUCAGACACACCAUUACCAUACUUGUCCUGUACUCAAGUACUGGAUUCACUCAAUUUUGUGUAGAGGACUCUAGACUAGGAAGAGAUUAUUUGUGCUGUAUUUUAGUUGUGUCAUGAUCAGAACUGCCAGAUUUAGCAAAUAAAAAUAUAGGACAUGCAAUUAAAUUUGAAUUUCAGAUAACCAAUGAAUAAUUUUUUAAUGAAUGUCCCUAAUAUUGCAUGUUUCCAGCAUUUUAUCUGGCAACCCUAGCCACUUAUAACUUAAGGAAUAGAAACUGUAAUGACUUAAAAUGAAAUACCUCUUCAUAUUUUUAGACAUCUUCUUCUAUUGUGUUCUAAUGCUAGUCUUUCUUUUCCAAUUCUAAAGUAUGCUAUAUAAAUUUAAAAAAACCAUCUACUUAAAUUAAGCCUUUCCCUCAACAGUUUUGUAAAAGGGGCA